rnacentral:rRNA from 1 species
UCGACGGAAGGCCCUUCGGGGUACUCGAGUGGCGAACGGGUGAGUAACACGUGGGUGAUCUGCCCUGCACUUUGGGAUAAGCCUGGGAAACUGGGUCUAAUACCGAAUAGGACCACGCGCUUCAUGGUGUGUGGUGGAAAGCUUUUGCGGUGUGGGAUGGGCCCGCGGCCUAUCAGCUUGUUGGUGGGGUAAUGGCCUACCAAGGCGACGACGGGUAGCCGGCCUGAGAGGGUGACCGGCCACACUGGGACUGAGAUACGGCCCAGACUCCUACGGGAGGCAGCAGUGGGGAAUAUUGCACAAUGGGCGCAAGCCUGAUGCAGCGACGCCGCGUGAGGGAUGACGGCCUUCGGGUUGUAAACCUCUUUCAAUAGGGACGAAGCGCAAGUGACAGUACCUAUAGAAGAAGCACCGGCCAACUACGUGCCAGCAGCCGCGGUAAUACGUAGGGUGCGAGCGUUGUCCGGAAUUACUGGGCGUAAAGAGCUCGUAGGUGGUUUGUCGCGUUGUUCGUGAAAACUCACAGCUUAACUGUGGGCGUGCGGGCGAUACGGGCAGACUAGAGUACUGCAGGGGAGACUGGAAUUCCUGGUGUAGCGGUGGAAUGCGCAGAUAUCAGGAGGAACACCGGUGGCGAAGGCGGGUCUCUGGGCAGUAACUGACGCUGAGGAGCGAAAGCGUGGGGAGCGAACAGGAUUAGAUACCCUGGUAGUCCACGCCGUANACGGUGGGUACUAGGUGUGNNNUNCUUCCUUGGGAUCCGUGCCGUAGCUAACGCAUUAAGUACCCCGCC